rnacentral:rRNA from 1 species
UACAGAGGGUGCGAGCGUUAAUCGGAAUUACUGGGCGUAAAGCGCGCGUAGGCGGCUUUGCAAGUCGGGUGUGAAAUCCCCAGGCUUAACCUGGGAACUGCAUUCGAGACUGCAUUGCUAGAGUAUGGGAGAGGGAAGUGGAAUUUCCGGUGUAGCGGUGAAAUGCGUAGAUAUCGGAAGGAACAUCAGUGGCGAAAGCGAAUCUCUGGGCAACAUCUGACGCUGAGGCACGAAAGCCAGGGGAGCAAACGGG